GGAGAUGUGGUUUAGUGAUAGUGCAUCUGCUUGGCAUACAGAAAGUUCCAGGUUCAAUCCUUGACAUCUCCA
rnacentral:tRNA from 1 species